rnacentral:rRNA from 1 species
UGGCGGACGGGUGAGUAACGCGUGGGUAACCUGCCUCAUACAGGGGGAUAACAGUUAGAAAUGGCUGCUAAUACCGCAUAAGACCACAGCACCGCAUGGUGCAGGGGUAAAAACUCCGGUGGUAUGAGAUGGACCCGCGUCUGAUUAGCUGGUUGGUGGGGUAACGGCCUACCAAGGCGACGAUCAGUAGCCGACCUGAGAGGGUGACCGGCCACAUUGGGACUGGGACACGGCCCAA